AGAGUUUGAUCAUGGCUCAGAUUGAACGCUGGCGGCAUGCUUUACACAUGCAAGUCGAACGGUAACAGGUCUUCGGAUGCUGACGAGUGGCGAACGGGUGAGUAAUACAUCGGAACGUGCCUGGUAGUGGGGGAUAACUACUCGAAAGAGUAGCUAAUACCGCAUGAGAUCUACGGAUGAAAGCAGGGGACCUUCGGGCCUUGUGCUACCAGAGCGGCUGAUGGCAGAUUAGGUAGUUGGUGAGGUAAAGGCUUACCAAGCCUGCGAUCUGUAGC
rnacentral:rRNA from 1 species